GACGAACGCUGGCGGCGGGCUUAACACAUGCAAGUCGAACGGAAAGGCCCUGCUUUUGUGGGGUGCUCGAGUGGCGAACGGGUGAGUAACACGUGAGUAACCUGCCCUUGACUUUGGGAUAACUUCAGGAAACUGGGGCUAAUACCGGAUAGGAGCUCCUGCUGCAUGGUGGGGGUUGGAAAUUUGCGGCGGGUGGGGAUGGACUCGCGGCUUAUCAGCUUGUUGGUGGGGUAGUGGCUUACCAAGGGUUUGAAGGGUAGCCGGCCUGAGAGGGUGACCGGGCACAUUGGGACUGAGAGACGGCCCAGACUCCUACGGGAGGCAGCAGUGGCGAAUAUUGCACAAUGGGCGGAAGCCUGAUGCAGAAACGCUGCGUGCGGGAUGACGGCCUUCUGGUUGUAAACCGCUUUCGCCUGUGACGAAGCGUGAGUGACGGUAAUGGGUAAAGAAGCACCGGCUAACUACGUG
rnacentral:rRNA from 1 species